rnacentral:rRNA from 1 species
UGAGUACGAGAUGCUACGGCAUCGAAGCAGUCUAUGUCAUACUUCCAAGAAAAGCUUGCAAUGUCAUAAACAAAUAAUGCCUGUACCAUAACCGACACAGGUGGGUAGGUAGAGUAUACUAAGGGGCGCGAGAUAACUCUCUCUAAGGAACUCGGCAAAAUGACUCCGUAACUUCGGGAGAAGGAGUGCCUUAUUUUUAUAAGGUUGCAAUAACAAGAUCCAAGCAACUGUUUACCAAAAACACAGGUCUCCGCUAAGUCGUAAGACGAUGUAUGGGGGCUGACGCCUGCCCAGUGCCAGAAGGUUAAAGAAGUUGGUUAGCAUUAGCGAAGCUGAUAACUGAAGCCCUGGUGAACGGCGGCCGUAACAAUAACGGUCCUAAGGUAGCGAAAUUCCUUGUCGGGUAAGUUCCGACCCGCACGAAAGGCGUAAUGAUUUGGAUACUGUCUCGGAGAGGGGCUCGGUGAAAUAGACUUGUCUGUGAAGAUGCGGACUACCUGCACCUGGACAGAAAGACCCUAUGAAGCUUUACUGUAACUUGAGAUUGAAAUUGGACUUUAUCUGCGCAGUAUAGGUGGGAGACGUUGAAAAUAUUCUUGCGGGAAUAUUGGAGUCAUCAGUGAGAUACCACUCUUAUAAUGUUAGAUUUCUAACUUUGUAUCAUUAUCUGGUCAAAGAACAGUUUCAGGCGGGCAGUUUGACUGGGGCGGUCGCCUCCCAAACGGUAACGGAGGCGCACAAAGGUUUCCUCUGAACGUGUAGAAAUCGUAUCUAGAGUGUAAAGGCAUAAGGAAGCUUGACUGUGAGACCUACAAGUCGAGCAGGGACGAAAGUCGGUCUUAGUGAUCUGACGGUGCUGAGUGGAAAGGCCGUCACUCAACGGAUAAAAGUUACUCUAAGGAUAACAGGCUGAUCUCCCCCAAGAGUUCACAUCGACGGGGAGGUUUGGCACCUCGAUGUCGGCUCAUCGCAUCCUGGGGCGGUAGUACGUCCCAAGGGUUGGGCUGUUCGCCCAAGAAAGCGGUACGCGAGCUGGGUUCAGAACGUCGUGAGACAGUUCGGUCCAUAUCCGGUGUAGGCGUUAGAAUAUUGAGAGGAGCCUUCUUUAGUACGAGAGGACCGAGAAGGACAUACUUCUGGUGUACCAGUUAUCGUGCCAACGGUAAACGCUGGGUAGCCAUGUAUGGAGAGGAUAACCGCUGAAAGCAUCUAAGUGGGAAGCCCACCUCAAGAUAAG